GCACUAUUGAGGAGUCCUAUAAUAGAACGAAACAGCUGUCCAGUAC
rfam:Schistosoma mattheei strain Denwood, Zambia genome assembly, scaffold: SMTD_scaffold0004518